CUCCAUGAAUGUAUUAUUUAAUGAAAAACUAUUGUGUGAUAUAGCAUCGCCAGGGCACAGACAUUUAAUGCAAGAGCUCUUUGUUUACUGUGAACAUGGACUUUAUUACUGUUCAGCUCACCUACCUCACACCUUUACUGCAAAGCUAAAGGGCACUUAGGUCUAGAGCAGAUCAAGGCACAACUUGAUAGGAAAUGAAGAUAAGUAGGGCAAUGGAAAGUCUUUCAGUUGUAGGAUUUUUAAGAAAGUGUGCAGAGAGAGCUACAGUGCUCUUCUUCUGGGGGAACAGUGAAUUAGGAAGGACAGUUGGGAGCUUUACUUAAAUACAGCAUCUGACUCCUGAGACUUUAUUGGUAAAUUAAUGUCUGGAAUUUUGUGUUGUAAAACAAUACAUUGCCUUUGCAGCUUUUGGCAAGGGCCAUCGACAGAGAGAUCACACCAGCUGGGGACAAUCUGAAAAGAAAUCAGGUUUUCUUAAGUCACCUGAGAAGUCCUCAAGGAGAGAGGAAUGAAUGGGUAGCACCAUAAUAGAAGGCCUUAGGAUCUCAGAUAGUGCUACUCUAGAUGCCUUGAAAAUAGAAGCAGAAAAUGAAAAACUAAAUGACUUCACAGGAAUUAGCUCAAUUCUGAUUAUGAUUAUUUCAUAUUGGUAUUUUAUACUUGAUUCAUUUUUUAAAAGUUUUAAAAUAAGAGUCUUCGGUUUUAAUUUGAGGCUGUCUUAGAAUCAUGAAAUGCUUACACUCUGGGCAACUAAACUCCAGGAAAUCUUCUCCAGUCAUACAGCUGGGUCAUAUGUGAGGCAACAACUGUUUAAAAGGGAGAGCUGGUUGCUUUCUCCUGGAAGAAGCACUUGGGGGUUGACUGUCACUUCUGAGCCUUCUGUUCUGAGUCACUUCGCAGAAGGGGCACUUUGCUCUAACUCCUCCAUGGGACCCAUCCAGCACUGGGGCUGGAGGCUCCUAUGGUGUUGCAGCUCUGAGCUGGGAGGGGUAGCUCUCACCCUGACUUGAAGAAGCCUGUUUUCACAGCUGAUCUAGAUCUGAGGAACAGGUGCUUUUAAAGAAGCAUGUGAAAGUAUCUCCUGCAGGAGAGCUCACUAUGCAGGGAAAGUCACACAGGACAGGGAAAAGUGGCUUCCCAACUUCCACGGGGCGAGCGAACCAGGGAGGGCACAGGAUGGUUGAGGAGUUUAUGAAAGGCCUGCAUCUCCCUGAAAGUCUUCCAGCAACCCUACAUCCCACCACUAUCCCAGGCUCACAGAGAUCAGCUCCUCGCCAUUCUGACAAGCAAACAAAAGGGAAGGCAAAGGACCUGAAGAAGAUGGAGGAGAAUAAUGAAAGCCUCCUUUAAAAGCAGAGACCAAUUCUUGAAGCUGAUCCCAAGUUGGCAACAGCGUGGUAGAUGAGCGACCAUGCAGCUGAAGCCUGGUGAAAGCAGAAGUGAGGCGCUGCUCAGAGCUGUCUGGCGUCUUCAGGAAUGAGGCACGCUCCGCUCUCAUCUUUCGCUGUCGGUUGUUGAGGGGAGACUUUCUGCUUUUCUGCCCUGGGAUUGUAUGAUCUGAUGAGGCGGUCCGGAAUCCAGACUGGUGACUCGGCAUCCUGUGGAAAGACACAUGCAUGCCCCCUUGCGGAGGAGAGAAGAACAUCUGGUCCCUUCCACGUAGAUGAAACAGCUUUCUGCAAAUCUAAGGGACAGUGAUGUUCCCUAGGAUCGCAAUGGCGCUGUUGCAGAUCUACCUUGAGAAUCUUUUUUUCCCUUUUCUUCUUUUUCUUCCAUCUAAAUUAAACUGGGUAUUUCUCAUUUACAUUUCAAAGGUUAUUCCCAUUCUCAUUUCCAGGCCAACAUUCCCCUAACCCCUGCCCCUCCCCUUCUAUAUGGGUGUUCCCCUCCCCAUCGUCCUCCCAUUACCGCCCUCCCCCGAGGAAUCCAGUUCACUGGAGCUCCAACCUUGACAGGACCAAGGGCUUCCCUUCCACUGGUGCUCUUACUAGGCUAUUCAUUGCUACCUAUGCGGUUGGAGCCCAUGUCAGUCCAUGUAUAGUCUUUGGGUAGUGGCUUAGUCCCUGGAAGCUCUGGUUGGUUGACACUGUUGUUCAUAUGGGGUCCCAAGCCCCUCCAGCUCUUUCGGUCCUUUCACUGAUUCCUUCAAACGGGGUCCCAUUCUCAGGUCAGUGGUUUGCUGCUGGCAUUCGCCUGUGUAUUUGCUGUAUUCUGGCUGUGUCUCUCAGGAGAGAUGUACAUCUGGUUAUUCAAAUAAUUACUUACAAAAAGAGCAUGAUAAUAAGUGAGUGGGGGAGACAUAUUUUAAUUCUCCUCCCUGUACCUUAGCCAUUUGUGUCUUUAAUAUUUGGUUAGAUCUCUCAAUAAUUGCCCGCCCUUGAGGAUCAUAUGGAAUGCCUGUAGUGUGUCUAAUAACAAAUUUAAUACAAAAGUUUGCAAAGGCUUUAGAUUGAUAAGCAGGACCAUUAUCAGUUUUCAGAUGCAGCAGGAUGGCAAGAAAUGCAAAAGAAGCAAACAAAUGCUGCUGUACAUCCUUGAAUGCUUCUCCCGUCCUGGCUGUGGCCAAAAUAACUCCAGAAAGGUAUCAACAGUAACUUGAACAAAGGAAAAAUUUCCAAAACAUGAAACAUGAAUUACAUCCAUCUGCCGUAGGAUUCCAGGCUUGAGUCCUUGAGGGUUAACUCCAGGCAGAGAAGCUGGAAGUGUUGUAGGACAAGCAGAACAAUGUUUUACAAUCUGAGGAGCUGCCUCUCUAGUCAAAGAAAAUUGAUAUCUCAGUGCCUGAGCAUUUUGGUGGUGAAUACCAUGGGAGGCGAUUGCUCUACUAACAUCAUCUAAAAGCGAACCCUGAGUCAAUAAAUUUGCAUAUGAGUUUCCUGUGACUAAAGGUCCAGGAAGACUAUUGUGAGACCGAGUAUGUCCCACAAAAUAAGGAAUCAAGCGUUGACGCACCAAUUGUUAUAAUUUUUGUAAUAAGGUAUUAAUUGUUGUUUUGUCUGUGUUGAUCACAGCUAUCUCAAUAACAGGGAAGAGUCUAUACACAUUUUGAGAGUCAGGAUAGAGGUUAAAAUGAAUCGAGGAAUAAUGAGAAAAAACUUCAAUAACUGCAUAUAACUCUGUCUUUUGAGCUGAGGUAAAGGAGGUCCUGGUGUCAGUUUCAGAAACAAUAACGAAUGGCUUUUCCAUUUGAAGAACCAUUGGUAAAGAAUAUUUUUCCUUGAUCUAAAGGCUCCAUAGAGAAGGCAGAAGGAAAUAUAACUUGUUGUCAAUUCAGAAAAUGUAACAGAGGAUUUUUUGGAAGAUGAUAUAACACUUGCCCCUUAAAGGAGACAAAAGCUAAUGCAAAGGAACCAGAAAAAUUUAGCAACCACUCAACCUGAGUGUUGGUGCAGGGUAUUCUAAUCAAUUCAAAAUCUUUACCCAAUAUCCCCUAAUCCUUCUCUACCCUCCAUAAUGAGCUGAGCUACUAAAUCAUAAUAAGGAAUCAAAACGUGGGGAGGGAGCAGGCAAAUGGAUCCAUUCUAAAGGUCCUUGUUCUUGCCAGAUAACCCCCGUGGGUGUUAGGGAAGUAUGCAGGAUAACACAUUCACAGGCCUCAUAUAAAUCAAUUCUUACAGUGAGUUGUGCCUGGAUGGCCUCCUCAAACACCUGCAGAGCCUUUUGUCCCUCUUGAGUUAACACUCAGAGAGAUUUGGGACAAUGAUCUCUCUUUAAAAUAUCAAAAAGUGGCUUUAAUUGGCCAAUGGAAAAUUUUACGUAAGGUCUAAUCCAGUUGAUUUCUCCUAGCAGUUUUUGCAAAUCAUUUAAGGUUUUCAACUUAUCCAUCCUAAAUCUUAAGACUGCAUGUGAAAUAGGAUCAGAAUAAAGAAUUCUCCCCAAAUAAUUGUAUGGGGGAUCCUUUUGAAAUUUUUCAGGAGCCACUAUUAAGCCAUACUUACGCACACUUUGUAUAAGGUUAUCCAAAGCUUGAUUCAGCAAAGUCAGGGAAGAAUGAGCAAUCAAAAUAUCAUCCAUAGAAUGAAAAAUCAACAACUCAGGAAACUGUUGACGAGUGGGAGACAAAGCCAUAUCCACAAAUGUUUGACACAAAGUGGGACUAUUUUUCAUUCCCUGUGGGAGCACUUUCCAUUGAAACCUCUGGUAAGGCCUUUGUAAAUUUGUUGAGGGUAAACUAAAGGCAAAGGCUUCCUGUCAUCUGGAUGCAAAGGGAUAGUAAAGAAACAUCUUGCAAUCUAUAACACACGCAGAGCAUCCUUCGGGAAUCUCUGUGGGAGAGGGCAGUCCUGGUUGCAGAGCCCCUUAGCCUCCAUGGCUGCAUUCCCCUUCCUUACAUCUUGUAACAAUCUCCAUUUGCCAGAUUUUUUCUUAAUCACAAAGAUAGGUGUAUUCCAAGGCCUGGUGGAGGGUUAAAUAUGACCGUUAUCCAGUUGUUCUUGUACAAGCUGAGUAGCUGCCUGGAUCUUUUCUUGACAAAGGGACCACAGAUCCACCUAGACACUUUGAUCAGUGGCCCAGACUGUCUUAUCCCCAGUUAAGUCAAUUACCCCAGAGAUACUUUUCCACCUAAAAGAAGUCUAACCUCAUCCUCAUAAUUAGCUUUAAAUAAGAGAAAUUGUCCCUCUGUGAGACAGGACCUGGCCAGGAUAAAUCAGUCUGCAGGAGUGAGCCAAAUGCCUACCAGAUUUUCCACAAGGGAGAGGACAUAAGGUGAAGUAGGGCCAUAUUUAGAAGUAUUUUCUUUUCAUUCCUUAACAAGUUUAAAGGAGAUGAGUUCCCAUUUCUGGAUCUCCAUGCUUACUGUUAGAAAUAGCAUCAAAUGUUCCCCUUGUUCCCUGGCCUUCUACACUGCUUGCAGAAUACGGGACUGAGGGGGGCUUCUUUUCUUACUCCUUUUCUUAGGCGUAAGAGGGCCCAGUCAGGAUUAUGAUAUUUAGCUGCCUCAUCCUCCCUCAGAUUCAUCUCCAGGAUCUAAAGGCUCUCCCUCCUCGUCCUCCUCAGGGUCUGAGGAAGUCUCUACUAAAUCUACAAUACACUGUGAAGGCGGUGGUUUUGAUGACUUAGCAGUUUGUUUCUUAUUGGUUUGUUUGGGCAGUAGAGGCACUCCUUCCUUCACAGCACUGUUUGUACUACAAACAGACCCUGCUGAUGAGCUGGCCAGGUCUGUUAUCUCAGUCUGGGAAAGUGCCUGUAUCACCACAAACCAGAACAUAAGCGCUUUCUCUGGAACCUGUCCUUCGUCUUCCUCAUCCUUAUGUUCCAGAAUCCAGGUUUUUAUAUCCUUUCCUAUGCUUUCCCAUGCUGCCUCAUCCAAGGUCCUUUUAUCAGGUAACCAAAAGCUCACAGAACAAAUGAAGAGGAGACAAUCAGAGAGCUACUGUUUUUCAAAGUGAAUUCUCUUUUUAAGCAAUACCUUAUGAAGAAUCUUUUCAUACAUAGAUCUCUCACUGGAUUCAGUUUGCCCAUAAUAAAACUAUAAAACUAUCACACUAUCACUUCAUACCUAUUCUUUCUCAGCACUCUUCUUUG
ensembl:lncRNA